UACGUAGGGUGCAAGCGUUAAUCGGAAUUACUGGGCGUAAAGCGUGCGCAGGCGGCUUUGCAAGACAGAUGUGAAAUCCCCGGGCUCAACCUGGGAACUGCAUUUGUGACUGCAAGGCUAGAGUACGGUAGAGGGGGAUGGAAUUCCGCGUGUAGCAGUGAAAUGCGUAGAUAUGCGGAGGAACACCGAUGGCGAAGGCAAUCCCCUGGACCUGUGACUGACGCUCAUGCACGAAAGCGUGGGGAGCAACAGG
rnacentral:rRNA from 1 species